rnacentral:sRNA from 1 species
GCCAGGCAUGGUGGUGUGCACCUGUAAUCUCAACUACUUGGGAGGCUGAGGCAGGAGGAUCACUUGAGCUAAGGAGUUUGAGGCUGGCCUGGGCAUCAUAGCAAGACUCUGUCUCUA